CAGGUCCUCCUGGUCGGGUCGGGCCACAAGGUUUGAAGGGAGAUUCAGGCCUUCCUGGUCCAGCUGGCCCUCCGGGUCUACAGGGGAAGUCAGGUAUUACUGGGCCACCUGGCCUGAGAGGAGAAACUGGACAACAAGGACCUCCUGGACCACCAGGGGAGAGGGGUCUCCAGGGCUUUGUAGGCCGUGCAGGAAAUGUUGGACCCCCUGGUCCCGCUGGACCUCCUGGAGAGGCAGUGAGUUUAGAUGCUGCUGUUAUUUUUCUCUGAUUAGUAGCUAGCUUCAGCUAAACAUAGUCUUGUUAAGGCUUGAAUUUAUUUUGUUGAAUGACUGCUUAUCAUAUAUUAACUAGGGAUG